CUUUGACACAGGAGAAAAUGGGCCAGGACUCGUGAUAGGAAGACCCCCUCCCCCCACCAAAAAAAGAUUCACAAACUCGGGGGCACUCAGGUCAGGAGGAGGUGCCUCUGCCCUGCUGACUUGAUGCCCAGCACCCUGAGAGAGCACCUGCACCUGGGGAGGAGCCGGCAGCUUCCAGCCCAGCAGGGCAGAGGCUGGGCCUGCGUGACCUAUCACACCUGUCGAGGGAACCGGCCUGAGGGGGUGGGGAAGCCGAUAAAAAC
rnacentral:lncRNA from 1 species